rnacentral:misc_RNA from 1 species
CCGGCAGCUGGUGGUCCCGCUCACCACGGUGUCCCAUGCAUAUUUAAUGCUCCUCGAGCGCGUAUCGCGGUCGUGCGUCCGUCUCUCCGGCACCUGCUCAUCACUUGUUACGGUUUCGAGCUUCGGUAUCGGUGUCGCGAUUUCGUUUUGUAUACGCGGGGGGUGAACGGGGGUCGUCGUCGUUGUCACGGUCGAGUUUCCCUUCGGAGUUCUCGAACAUGGUGUUCAAAGCAUUCGUCACUUCCGGGGGUUAAGUACGCGUAGGAAUCGCUUCGAUACAUCUACCAUCGAGAAACUAUGAAAGUGGCUAAAAACGGAGGGUAAUAAUAGGCGGAGAGUGACGUAGCAGAGCUCAGGAACAGGCGAUGAGGCGGCUGGCAUACUCGGCGGCCCUCGGCAAGGGCCCCGGCCGCCCGGUCAGCGCCACUUGAACGAGGCACGAAGAGGACCAAUGAGCAGGGCGCGGGAUGGGCUCGUCCUGGCUCGCGGCCCUGCUGCUCACGGUGACGGUGUCCACGUUCUCCGGAGCUAACCCGACCUCGGCAUCAACCUCCCCAUCCGAUACGGAAGGAUCCUAUCUCGAGAAGGCCAGCAUAGAGGAGGCCCUGGCGGUGAUCGAGGCUGCGUCCACCGGAUCUCUCGGGGAAGCUUGCGCCACCGGUUCCGGUUACAAGUCCCUCCUCGCCGCUCUGGAUCCUCGCCGGUACGACACGGCUCGUCAAAAGGCCGACAUGGCUGCGAUGAUGCUCCAAGACCUGGGUGUCGCUCGCCACAACACUCUCCUGGACGCCGUCGCACGGUCGCUCCUCGCCUCCGUCGACGACGCCGUCGCCACAAGAGUCGUCGCGCUGAACGCAUCGACAGGGAUCGUCGUCGGGUCCACCUGGUGGGAACGGGCCCCCGGGGGUGUGGGCGAACCCCUUCGCGCCCGGGACGAGAACCACGCUCUCGAGUCAGGUUCCCGGCCGGAUCCAAAGCUCCCCUGGUUCGAGGACGCCGACACGAGUCCUGGGCUCAGGUCGCCGAAGUUCAUGCAGUCACCACCGAUUGAAUCCUACAGGGGGUGGUGGACCCUUCCGUACUUCUCAUGCAAGGAACAUCGCUGGCUCAUCUCCUACAGCGUCAGCGUGCCGCCUCCGAAUCGACACGGGAUCCGGGAUUUCCUCAGCAUGGACGUCGACGUGAGUGACCUGGAGGUGAACCAGUGCGACCUGGAGCAGACGACGCGCGAAGAAGCAUCCUCUGAGAACCAAAUCGCGUCUUUUCGAGGGACCCACAAGUGCCAUUCGACAACACAGUGCGAGUAUCAGAGUCCUGCAAGCCGAGUCAACGGAAAGACGGUUGGUGCCGGGUGGAUGAAGGGUGCCUACGUCUGCAGAUGUCGUCCAGGGUUUUAUACAGCCGGGCAUCAUCAGUCUGGGUUUAAUGGGACGCUCGUGGAGGCUGCGUGGAAAGAGAUGAAGGAGAACAAGACCGAUCUGUACGAGCGGGUUUUCCGGUGCUUGGCCUGUGCACCGGGAUGCAGUUCGUGCAAAGGCCCGGAACCUUGUCUGGCCACCUAUAAUUGGCCUUUUAGGAUCGCCCUGCUCACCGUGUCGGUCUCCUGUGCCUUCGGAACCGUCGUUCUGGUCGGUUAUAUGUACCAGCAUCGGAAACUCAAGGUCUUUAAGGUCGCCUCGCCAAUUUUUCUCUCCAUCACGCUGCUCGGCUGCGCCAUAAUGUAUUUAGAGAUGGCUGCAAUUUUUCCCGUCUUGGAUAUCUAUUCUUGUAUCGCGACUAAGUGGAGCAGGCAUCUUGGCUUUUGCAUCACGUACACGGCGCUCCUAAUGAAGACGUGGAGAGUGUCUCUGACCUACCGAGUAAAAAGUGCACACAAGGUAAAACUCACGGACAAGCAGCUCCUCCAAUGGAUGGUUCCGAUCCUCUUGGUGAUGCUGAUCUAUCUGGGAACCUGGACUCUGAGUGCUCCACCGAUUGCCGAAGUGAUCGCCGACAGCCACGGUCUCCUCUUCAACCAGUGCUCUUUCAACUGGUGGGACCACAGCAUGGCUAUAGGUGAGGUAAUCUUCUUGGCUUGGGGUAUCAAGGUCUGCUACAACGUCCGGAAUGCCGAGAGUCUCUUCAACGAGGCGCGCCUCAUCAGCUAUGCGAUAUACAACAUCGCGGUAGUCAACACUGCCAUGGUCGCGAUUCACCUGUUCAUAUUUCCGCAAGCGGGACCGGACAUAAAAUACCUCUUGGGAUUCGCGCGUACUCAGCUCUCGACAUCGGUGACGGUGUUCCUGGUCUUUGGCCCGAAGGUACUCCGGGUACUUCGCGGUCAAGGAGACCAGUGGGACAGUAGAGCCAGAGGAAGAGCGGGUGUCAGCGCCAGUUUCUCGUUAAACGGCAUUGGCCUGGUCCCGGAGGAAGCGGCAGACCUCACCCAGGAGAACGAGGAGCUCAAGGAAGAAAUCCAGAAAUUGGCGGCCCAAAUCGAGUUCAUGAAGAUCGUCCACAUGGAGAUGCACAACAGGCACAUCAAGCCCAAGGCUGGGGGAUACUUCAGCACGCCGGGUCACGGUCAUCCCUCAUCGGCGCAGAGUCCGAUCGCCAAAAGUUCGACGGCCAGUUUCAUCCUGAAGCGCGGUCGAGCGCGGGGCGACAGCGGCGGCCGCUGCGGCUGUCGAGGACUCCACCUUUCCCUCGGGGAGCCUGCACAGGGCUCGUCGUCGGGAGAUGCGGAAGGAACGAGAACGCGAGAGGGAACGGGAGAACGAACGGGAACGCGAGAGGGUCGAGAGAGCGGAGAGAGCCGAGAGGGCCGAGAGGGCUAAGAGGGCCGAGAGGGCCGAGAGGGAGUCUCAGGAUCAGGCGCAGAAGAGCGCGGAACGCGUCUGACUAGUGGUAAAUAGUGAGGAGAUAUGGUUGUGACAAAGACGGUCAAUAAAGUUCCGAAACGCAGUGUUUGGAAAAAUCCUGGAAGGCAAGACGCGCUCGAAGCGUCGUGGCUUGAAAAAAUGGCGUCUCCCCCGACUCGACGCCAGGCUUCCGGUCUUCGUCUGAGUCGUCGGCAACCGAAAGUAUGACCGGAAUCACUGUCCUUGUAACUGUGUCGAUUAACGUGCUCUGCAAGCUCUACGGCAUGUCCGAAUAUUGCGAAUAUUGCUCCUCGCGCCUUGAAUCUGCGGGGCUUACACGCCUACAUGUGCAACUACAUAGGUAUGUAUGUAAUACGCGACUUGGAUGCGAACGUUUCCCAAACCCGUAUGUAUGUCCGAAUACUUGCCCUGUACCCAUGAUAAUAUACUAUACGCGCGUUUUGAAAACCGUUUACAAAUUUUUUACACCAUGAUAUACCCGCCGCGGAGACGAUUAGAAUUUGGAGUGUAGAGAAAACGGUCAUGUUACGUGUACCUUCUGUUCACGAUCGUAGCUUCUUACUAUUUGCUUACGUGUACGUUUGAGAAAUAUAUAUUAUAAUGUUAUUCGACCGCACGAUGUAUACAUGGAUAAAUUGGACGUUGAACGUUCGUAUUGUUUUAGACGCGAAUUAUGAUCGUGGCUAUCGGCAAAGUGUCGAUCCACUUUAUUACAAAGUACUAUCGGUGAAUUUAUCGUAUUAUACCGAAGUAACUAUACAUAGAUAUAUUACAAAGUGUUGAUAAGGGUAUUCAUAUACAUUAUCUAUCAGUGUUGACAAUAUGUACGUACUUACUACGCUAUAAGGGAGCGACGAGACGGGGAGCAGGGCUAGCUGUCGCGAUUCACGAUCCUUUUCUUGGAUUUAUUCAUUCAAUUAGAAUUUCUACCAGACUACUCCAUCGUGCGAUACAAGACGUUCCCUUUUUGUACCGGGACUAAUUUUUUUACCAGGAGAAUCCCGGACGUCGCGAAAAUGCGAACCGCCUUUGGUUUCGGUUUAGAUUCGAAAUCGCAAAUUUGCUUCAUACCUGAAACAUCAAGAUUUACCAUAAUAAAAGAGUCGACAUAAGAUAAUUUAUACUUUACAGUACUCACUUUUAUUCAGCAGAAUCAAAAUAAUUACGAAUAAAAUUGAAAAAAACAUACUCAAGCAAAAUCCAAAUAUCACGGAUAAAUGCAACGUUCAGCCUUGCUCUCCCGAAUAGAGAUAUAUACCCAGGUGUAUAAUGUUAUAUAUUUUAUAGAAAUUCUUUUCACUAGUUAAUAUGGUUACGCAUUCGAGCCCGUUCUAAAUUAUCACUCGUCGAACGUUUUCUGCCGUAUUUAGAGGGACACGUGAGUCCUCCACGAACGUUCUUGGCUCGUUACACAAAGACUCAGGCAUUUUCUAGUUGUAGUUAUUCCGUUAUAGACGCACCUCCGUCUUUCUAUUGCCGAUACUUCAUAGUCGUACAGCUGUAUGUCUCCUAGACUUAGACUAAUAAUAAACGCUUUGGCCGAAUGCGCGACGCCUGGCUAAUAUAGUAUUCAGUAACAAACAUCGCUUCCGGUGUCAUUUAGAAUGGGCUCAUUCCGCGGCUCGUAUUCCAGAUGUCUCUUUUUCACCGAUGCCUGAUCAAUCGGCAAGGUGAGUUUUUCUUUUCGUUGCCUGUUUUUUCAUUUAUAUAUAUAUUUUUUUUUUUUUUAUAUGGAGGAACGAAGAUUCCGUAAUUGACGAGGUAAUAAUUCCUUGUAUUUUUUUUCUUUGCUUUUUUGGAAUUCGUUUGGGUAAAUUUUAGAUAUAUAGAUAGAUAAUUACGUAUGAUGCAAAUGCAGAUUAUUUAUACGAACAUAAAUCUAUAUUAUAUACAUCCAUAUACACAUAUUAUUAUUAUUAUACAUGGACACAGAAAUAAGUAUAUAUAUAUAUAUAUUAUAGGAACAUAAUAACAUAAUAUUGCCGUUUAGGUGUAAAAUGUUUAUUGUACAAUAUCGAUGUUGAACGUGUGUAAUUUUCAUAAACGACUUAACACAUUUAUUAUGCUUGACGAAAGCGUGAUAUUGAGUAUGUUACACGAUUCAUAGAAGUAUAAAUCACUGUUGAAGGGUGAAGAAAUCUUUAAAGUAGAAGUAAAGAAAGAAAAGGGAAUAUAAAACGAGAUUGUAAGAGAAUAGGAGAGAAAAGAAAAACGAUGAAGUAACACUCGCAGUAAUUGAUAGUGUAUUAAUUAUUCACCUACCAGUCGCGUAAAUUAAAUUGAAUCUGAUUUGCGGGAGGAUAUUAAAUAAUUAUAUGAUAAACUUGUCAAUUGUGGGCUAAGCGCGUACCUGUCUAUAUUAUGCAUACACACAUGCAAACAAACUUGUAACGUACAAUAAGCGUGAAGCGAGAUCAUUUUUUGCAUUAAGUGAGUAAAACAUGGCUCGAAAUUUCGUGCGUCUAAAACGACGUGGAAAUACAGGCCGAAUUAACAACCUGCGGUAAGACGAGACUCGGCGUUAGGUGCAAAAACCGUUUUAUGAUUAAAAUUGGGCUCGCCAGGCAACGUGGGUUGGCUCAUUUUCGUGAAACUAUGUACCUUGAGCUAUACCUACACGUAGUUGCGCUUAUUGAUGUCCGUCGCGUAGAGAUGCGUGUGCAACUUUCGUCUAACGAAGUUGCUUCCCUCGCCACAUGCUUACGCCCAGUUCUUCGGCGAUAGUUUUAAACUUUACCUGAGAACGGAAACACCCAAGAGAGAAUAAGUAAGUCGGUAAAGUUAUUGUAUAUCCAAUCCAGAACACAUCUGGCAGGAUUAAUUAUUCGGUCCUGUUAAAUUGUGGUCUAGGAUUCAUCUGCGAUUCCACAGCGGAAGAUAAAUCGAUGUCAGAGGUUUACAAACCGGCAGGAGUAAACUAUAAUUCUCACCGGUGGUGUCGUAUCAAAUUAUGUAACUUACAAAUAACAAAUUCCACCAGAAUUUAGUCUCGUUCCGGGGAAAGACAGAAAAGAUUUUUCGAGUCAGCUGAGAUCUGUUUGAAUCGCGAGCCAAAAAUGAUGAUCACAUAAUACGUCUGAACGAGUAUUUUACCUCUUACGGUCAAAAAUACUUUAUCCAAUGUUAAAGAUUGAAGAUAAACUAAUUUUUUUUUUUAAUCGAUCACAUUGACCGCAAAUUUGUUUUAUGUUCGAUGGUCAGGAAUACAGUAAGCUACAGUACUUGUACAGUUCAAAGAAUAUUUAGAAAAAAAAGUUUCGAGAAACCGAUUGAAAUUACAUUAUUACUGAAAACGAGUGCAGACACCAUUGGUCGGUUAUACUGAUGACCGUAACAACGUAACUGCGAUGUCAUAUUAAACUUCGGUAAAAUUAUAAGAUAUAGUAACAAUUAGUGCGAAUUUUGAAUACGUAAGUAGGCUCGUAAGUUAUAAUUUUAAGAUUAUCAAUCUGUCGUUAAUUAAAUGAAUAAAUUAUAAGGAUGCGCGAAGCGUUGAGAGGCCACCGAGAAGUUAUACGAAUGAGCCCCAAACAUAAUUUUGUUUAAUAUUGGAAAUUGUUGUUGCCAACCGAGUAUACCGUUCGCAAGAGCAAAUUCCGAGGCUGCUCUCUGGCCCCUCGCGAGAAUAGACAAACAUGGAUCCUCUACGUUGUAUAGGAAUUAGGUUGAGUUAAUUAUGACUCAUUAGAUAAAUAUACGAUAUGCGCGGACAAAUUGCUAUUUGCAAUAUUGCUUUCUAUGUCGUAAUUGCACUUCAUUAUAAUCAAUUUGGAUGUGCCUCGUCAAAGAGAUGAGUAGAUAGAUACACGUACAAAUAAGAUUGUGAAGAAAGGUAACAAAUAACUUAUUAGAUCGAUAAAGAAACAAAAUUAGGAACUUAACCGAUUGUCUGGCGAGCCUCAAUUGUACGGAAAACAUAUUCGUACCUAACGUCGUAUUUCUUUGUUGAAAUAGUUUCACUUGUUUUUUGGUCAAUAUUUUAGAUAUUUCCAAUCGAAUUCAUUUUUCACCCCUAGAAAAAAAAAAAAGAAAAAAAAAAGAAAAACCUGUGUACAAUGGAAAUAUUUGUAAAAAUAUACUGUAUGUCAAUAACAUAUUACAUGAAAUAAAGAUGAAAGGAAGAAAUACGGAAGUUGAUACAAGUGGUUAGUCGAGACUUCUUUUUAUUACAAUAAUAAUCAUUGUUAUAUACAUAUAUAUUACCCAUUCUAGUAUUAGUAAUUCGUUCACACAAUUUCUCGAGAUGUUUGUGGUUCUUUGUUAAUGAAUACAGGAUUGACUCAAGGACGACCGCGUUGCAUAUUGAAGUUCUCGUUAAUCGUAAAUUAAGAUUGCACAGAUCCGUAUAAUUACGAUUCAGAAUAUAAUUACGUGUUAAUAAUCGUACGUUGUAUACCCUAAGCACACUAAUGCGUAUUGUUUAUCAAUAAUAAUAAUAAUAAUAAUAAUAAUAAUAAUAAUAAUAAUAAUAAUAAUAAUAAUACAUGUAUAUAUAUAUAUUUGUUUUUCUAAAGUAAUGAACACUAAAAGAUUGCACGUCAUGUGAUAUACAUAUGUAUGUAUGGUAUACACGUUGUAUCUAUAAUAUACAUACAUCAUGCUCAUAAAGAUUAAUCAAGCACGUUAACAUUGAAAUUAAACAACAAUAAUGAACAAACAAAACGAACUUUAUACAGCAACAAUAAAUACAAGUUUUAUCAUCAAGUAUAUUUCAACUGGAUUUUCGUGCGGUGCGUGGGUAUAUGUAUGUAUAUUGUACAGUGAUAAACCAUAAAUCAUUCAAAUGUGAGAGAAUUUUCAAAUCCUCUGCAUUGGCUUGGCGUAGAUUGAGGGAAAGUAAAAAAUUUGGAGAAAAGAAAGAUAGAAUAAAAUGUAUGGAACAUUACCUCUGAUUGGAGACAAAAAAAAAAAAAAAAAUACCUCGGUUUUGCAGGCGCCAAAUUCAGCUAACUAUAAAUAAAUAGGGACACUGC